rnacentral:ncRNA from 1 species
ACGAUGAAGAGUUUGAUCCUGGCUCAGGAUGAACGCUAGCGGCAGGCCUAACACAUGCAAGUCGAGGGGCAGCGGGGAGUGCUUGCACUCCGCCGGCGACCGGCGCACGGGUGCGCAACGCGUAUGGAACCUGCCCCUGUCCGG